CCUACGGGUGGCAGCAGUGGGGAAUAUUGCACAAUGGGGGAAACCCUGAUGCAGCGACGCCGCGUGAGUGAAGAAGUAUUUCGGUAUGUAAAGCUCUAUCAGCAGGGAAGAAAAUGACGGUACCUGAGUAAGAAGCCCCGGCUAACUACGUGCCAGCAGCCGCGGUAAUACGUAGGGGGCAAGCGUUAUCCGGAUUUACUGGGUGUAAAGGGAGCGUAGACGGCAGCACAAGUCUGGAGUGAAAUGCCGGGGCUUAACCCCGGAACUGCUUUGGAAACUGUGAAGCUAGAGUGCAGGAGAGGUAAGUGGAAUUCCUGGUGUAGCGGUGAAAUGCGUAGAUAUGAGGAGGAACACCAGUUGCGAAGGCGGCUUACUGGACUGUAACUGACGUUGAGGCUCGAAAGCGUGGGUAGCAAACAGGAUUAGAUACCCCUGUAGUC
rnacentral:rRNA from 1 species